AGCUUGCUGGGUGGAUUAGUGGCGAACGGGUGAGUAACACGUGAGCAAUCUGCCCUUGACUCUGGGAUAAGCGCUGGAAACGGCGUCUAAUACCGGAUACGAACUUCAGCCGCAUGGCUAGGGGUUGGAAAGAUUUUUUGGUUGAGGAUGAGCUCGCGGCCUAUCAGCUUGUUGGUGAGGUAAUGGCUCACCAAGGCGACGACGGGUAGCCGGCCUGAGAGGGUGACCGGCCACACUGGGACUGAGACACGGCCCAGACUCCUACGGGAGGCAGCAGUGGGGAAUAUUGCACAAUGGGCGCAAGCCUGAUGCAGCAACGCCGCGUGAGGGACGACGGCCUUCGGGUUGUAAACCUCUUUUAGCAGGGAAGAAGCGAAAGUGACGGUACCUGCAGAAAAAGCACCGGCUAACUACGUGCCAGCAGCCGCGGUAAUACGUAGGGUGCAAGCGUUGUCCGGAAUUAUUGGGCGUAAAGAGCUCGUAGGCGGUUUGUCGCGUCUGCUGUGAAAUCCCGAGGCUCAACCUCGGGCCUGCAGUGGGUACGGGCAGACUAGAGUGCGGUAGGGGAGAUUGGAAUUCCUGGUGUAGCGGUGGAAUGCGCAGAUAUCAGGAGGAACACCGAUGGCGAAGGCAGAUCUCUGGGCCGUAACUGACGCUGAGGAGCGAAAGCGUGGGGAGCGAACAGGAUUAGAUACCCUGGUAGUCCACGCCGUAAACGUUGGGAACUAGAUGUGGGGACCAUUCCACGGUCUCCGUGUCGCAGCUAACGCAUUAAGUUCCCCGCCUGGG
rnacentral:rRNA from 1 species